GAAGGGUGACAGUACAACCCCCUGUGGCACACCUGUGCUGUUAUCACUCUUCAUCAGGUAGUCCUUAGUCCUCAACCCAGGACCAUCUAAAAGUGAAUGGCUUCAUCUGUGUCUUCUGGACUUUAUUACACAGUAAACUAAACAGGUUUAAAAACAUACUAAAGAGAAAACUUUAAGAAAUGUACUCACUUUCUUAAGCAAGUAUGUGAUGGUAUCAUCAAUUCCAAAUCCACAACAAAUUAGCUGCAGUGAGACCUGUAAGGGGUUUGUUUGUUUAGCUGAUCCAGUGUGAGUCUACCUACAAUUUUGAGGAUAUGCGUUGCUAUGGUAACAGGUCAACAGUCAUUAAACCCAGAUGAAAAACAUUUCUUUGGUACCUGAACAAGUACUUCACCAUUCCUUUACAAACCUCGUUGGUACUUCAUGGAGUACUACUCGCAUCAGUCCCUUCUGAGCUCUCCUGGAGGUGGUGGGCCCCCUGGAGAGCGAUCCCACCUCACUUCUUCGGGCUUGACCUGACCAGGGCCUGUGGGAGGAGCCCGGUCACCAGGCUCUCAACUGCAAGUCCCAACCCCAGGCCUGGCUCCAGGGUGUGGCCCUGGUGACAUCAAUCCGGGCAACGUUAAUAAAU